rnacentral:rRNA from 1 species
UACGAAGGGUGCAAACGUUGCUCGGAAUUAUUGGGCGUAAAGCGCACGUAGGCGGCAUUGCAAGUCGGAUGUGAAAUCUUAUGGCUUAACCAUAAAAGUGCAUCCGAAACUGCAGUGCUUGAGUACUUAAGAGGAUCGCGGAAUUCCCGGUGUAGAGGUGAAAUUCGUAGAUAUCGGGAGGAACACCAGUGGCGAAGGCGGCGAUCUGGGAAGAUACUGACGCUGAGGUGCGAAAGCGUGGGGAGCAGAACGAGUA